rnacentral:rRNA from 1 species
UACGUAGGGGGCAAGCGUUGUCCGGAAUUACUGGGCGUAAAGCGCGUGUAGGCGGGACGGUUAGUCGGACGUGAAAGGCUGGGGCUCAACCCCAGAUCGCCGUUCGAAACUGCCGUUCUUGAGGGUCGAAGAGGAGAGUGGAAUUCCUGGUGUAGCGGUGAAAUGCGCAGAGAUCGGGAGGAACACCCGUAGCGAAGGCGGCACUCUGGGCCGGUACUGACGCUGAGGAGCGAAAGCGUGGGGAGCAAACAGG